AAAGUACUCCCUCCGUCCCAAAAUUCUUGUCUUACAUUUGUCUAGAUACGGAUGUAUCUAAUACUAAAAUGUGACUUGAUACAUCCGUAUUUGGACAAAUCUAAGACAAGAAUUUUGGGACGGAGGGAGUAGAAC
rnacentral:pre_miRNA from 1 species